rnacentral:rRNA from 1 species
UACCAGCACCCCGAGUGGUCGGGACGAUUAUUGGGCCUAAAGCAUCCGUAGCCGGUACUGCAAGUCUUCCGUUAAAUCCACCUGCUCAACAGUUGGGCUGCGGAGGAUACUACAGCGCUAGGAGGCGGGAGAGGCAAGCGGUACUCAUUGGGUAGGGGUAAAAUCCACUGAUCCAUUGAAGACCACCAGUGGCGAAGGCGGCUUGCCAGAACGCGCUCGACGGUGAGGGAUGAAAGCUGGGGAGCAAACAGG